rnacentral:rRNA from 1 species
AGGAAUAUUGGACAAUGGGCGCAAGCCUGAUCCAGCCAUGCCGCGUGCAGGAUGACGGUCCUAUGGAUUGUAAACUGCUUUUAUACGAGAAGAAACAACUCUACGCGUAGAGUCUUGACGGUAUCGUAAGAAUAAGGAUCGGCUAACUCCGUGCCAGCAGCCGCGGUAAUACGGAGGAUCCAAGCGUUAUCCGGAAUCAUUGGGUUUAAAGGGUCCGUAGGCGGACAGAUACGUCAGCGGUGAAAGC